rnacentral:rRNA from 1 species
GAUGAACGCUGGCGGCGUGCCUAAUACAUGCAAGUCGAGCGAACAGACGAGGAGCUUGCUCCUCUGACGUUAGCGGCGGACGGGUGAGUAACACGUGGAUAACCUACCUAUAAGACUGGGAUAACUUCGGGAAACCGGAGCUAAUACCGGAUAAUAUAUUGAACCGCAUGGUUCAAUAGUGAAAGACGGUUUUGCUGUCACUUAUAGAUGGAUCCGCGCCGCAUUAGCUAGUUGGUAAGGUAACGGCUUACCAAGGCACCGAUGCGUAGCCGACCUGAGGGGGUGAACGGCGACACGGGAAGUGAGAGACGGGCCAGACUCCUACGGGAAGACACAGUAGAGAAUCUUCCGCAAUGGGCGAAAGCCUAACGGAGCAACGCCGCGUGAGUGAUGAAGGUCUUCGGAUCGUAAAACUCUGUUAUUAGGGAAGAACAAAUGUGUAAGUAACUAUGCACGUCUUGACGGUACCUAAUCAGAAAGCCACGGCUAACUACGUG